UAAUAAAAACAGUUCUGACUUCUGGCGUGUUUGGAAGCCGAGAAAAGUUGGGAGAGAUGAAGGACAAGGCAUUGGCAAUGGUUCGCUGCAAAUGGAAUUCCUUUUGUUUACUUGGGAGUUGGAAACGAUUGGAUUAUGGUCAGAUGAAACUUUGUCUCCAGUGAUUUCAUGGAACAGAUUUUUGAGUGAAUUAGGGUUAGCUGGGAAAACUUUGUCUAGUCAAUUCUUUUCACGUAUAAGAUGGGAAAACGAUUGGCUUGAUGGUUGCCCUCUUGUGUUUUGCAUGAUCCCAAAAUGUUUGUGGAAAUGCUUCAAAGAGAAAUAGAGAUAUUAAACUAGUGAAAUUUAAUUGAGAAAUUCUAUAUUGGCAGAUUAUCCUAAAUCCCCUCUCGCUAGCUUAUAUGUGGACCAUGAGUGCGCUCAAUCUGUGUCUUGCUAACACCUACUUUAUUGCCUUGUUGCUUUCUCUCAAUGUUCUAAGCAGAGUUAAGUGAAGAAACCAGGCGUGUCAAAUGGGAAAUUGGUGUCUAGAUCAGCUGGGUCGAUCGGGAAAUCCAGGUCCACAAGCGGAGAAUUGGUAGGUGUAUUAUUCGUUGAGAUCAUCUCAGUGAGAUCAGACUCCGAAUGCUGAAAAUUGUGACGCACUCCGAAGCUGCUGUUCUU